rnacentral:misc_RNA from 1 species
AACAAGGCGUACCUGCGGACCUGCGGAGGGAUCAUUACACAUAUAAAGUAUGCCUGGGAAAAUUCGAAAGAAAAGUACCCAGGCGUAUUCUUAUACCCAUGUCUUUUGCGUACUACUUGUUUCCUUGGUGGGCUUGCCUGCCAUUAGGACACCCCUACAAACCUUUUGUAAUUGCAGUCAGCGUCAAAAAAUAACGUAAUCGUUACAACUUUUAACAAUGGAUCUCAGAUCGGAAGAGCA